UACGUAGGGUGCGAGCGUUAAUCGGAAUUACUGGGCGUAAAGUGUGCGCAGGCGGCUGAGCAAGUCGAGUGUGAAAGCCCCGGGCUUAACUUGGGAAUUGCGCUCGAAACUACUUGGCUUGAGUGUGGCAGAGGAAGGUGGAAUUCCACGUGUAGCGGUGAAAUGCGUAGAGAUGUGGAGGAACACCGAUGGCGAAGGCAGCCUUCUGGGCCAACACUGACGCUCAUGCACGAAAGCGUGGGGAGCAAACAGG
rnacentral:rRNA from 1 species